GAUUAUUUGAUAUAACCCCUCAUAUGCUCUUUGCGCUUAGUAUAGGCCCAAAAUAUAUUUUUCUUUUUGAGAUAAAUCCAAAUUAUAUUAUAACAUAUUUUUUUUUUGCGAUAUUUCUAUAUUGCCCCUAUGUAUAUAUGGACGAUAUUAUUUUUCUAUUAUUUGACGUGUCCAUCUCUCUUCUUCUUUACGCCUCCAAUUACCUUCAUCGUCUGAUAAAAUUAUUUUCUCUGAAAUUAGCGUUUCACAUGUCGAACAUUAUCGAAACCUUCCUCGAUCGCCACACGCUUUCGAUUAUCAUCGCACUCUACGAAUGGGUCUCAACCCGGAAUCUCUCGCCGCUGUUGUUAAGGAGUUUCGCAGGGAUUCAACACCGCCUUCCUCAGACACAGUUGCACCACCUCCUUGACCAGGUGUUUGCUUAUAUGCGCAAACCAGAAAAUUUCCUCUCAAUCGCAUAUCUCGCUGCCGACAAGAUCCAUGGAAAUCUGUUCAGACGGUCCCCAACAUCCCUUCGACGAGUUUGGGUUCACAUACUUGAAGACGACCCCUGACCUUCCAGAGCACUCCAAGGUAUUUUUAUCAUUUUUUGCGGUGGGUUCGACGAUUUCUUCCCUCCAACGCACACGCCGCUGCCGGGGCUGUUAUGCCGAGAUGGCAGCACAUUUUUUAGAUAGGCCGUGGCAUCUCAACAACUAUGAGGAAAAAUUGCCUCGGCUACAAUCGAUCAAUCGCCGAAAUUAGCGGUCGUGUAAGCAGUGCUCCGAUUUUACAUAUUCCAUUUCUUUUCAGACAAAAUAUACCUGCUGCAGGCGCGAGGAAUAGAGGAGGGGGUGUCGAUGCGCUUACGGUAAAUAGUAGUUUUCGACAUUAAAUAGUGGAUUACGGUAGAGGGAUGGGGUUGACAACGCGUACAGUGAAUAGUGGAUUUCAAAUUUAGACAGUGGAUAGUGGUUUUCGUAAAUAGUGGUUUUCGAAUUCUUACGCGACAUUAAAUAGUGGAUUACGUUAGAGGGACAUUGAAUAGUGUAUUUCAAAUUCAGCGCAAUGAACAAUGGAUUACGUUAAUUUUUUUUAGAUAGUGAAUGUUCAUAAAUUUCGAUGUGUACCGUAAUAGUGGAUUUUAAACUUAGACAGUGAAUAGUGAAUUACGUUAAUUUUACAAUGGAUUACGACAAUUUAACUUAU